GCGGGAAUGGCGGAAUUGGCAGACGCGUACGGUUCAGGUCCGUAUGGGGGCAACUUCAUGCAGGUUCAAGUCCUGUUUCCCGCA
rnacentral:tRNA from 1 species